AGAUUGAACGCUGGCGGCAUGCUUUACACAUGCAAGUCGAACGGUAACAGGCCGCAAGGUGCUGACGAGUGGCGAACGGGUGAGUAAUGCAUCGGAACGUGCCCAGUCGUGGGGGAUAACGCAGCGAAAGCUGUGCUAAUACCGCAUACGAUCUAUGGAUGAAAGCGGGGGACCGAAAGGCCUCGCGCGAUUGGAGCGGCCGAUGUCAGAUUAGCUAGUUGGUGGGGUAAAGGCCCACCAAGGCGACGAUCUGUAGCUGGUCUGAGAGGACGACCAGCCACACUGGAACUGAGACACGGUCCAGACUCUACGGGAGGCAGCAGUGGGGAAUUUGGACAAUGGGCGCGAAGCCUGAUCCAGCAAUG
rnacentral:rRNA from 1 species